UACGGGGGGGGCAAGCGUUGUUCGGAAUUACUGGGCGUAAAGGGCUCGUAGGUGGCCAACUAAGUCAUACGUGAAAUCCCUCGGCUUAACCGGGGAACUGCGUCUGAUACUGGAUGGCUUGAGGUUGGGAGAGGGAUGCGGAAUUCCAGGUGUAGCGGCGAAAUGCGUAGAUAUCUGGAGGAACACCGGUGGCGAAGGCGGCAUCCUGGACCAAUUCUGACACUGAGGAGCGAAAGCCAGGGGAGCAAACGGG
rnacentral:rRNA from 1 species